rnacentral:rRNA from 1 species
CCCGCUGAACUUAAGCAUAUCAAUAAGCGGAGGAAAAGAAACCAACAGGGAUUGCCCCAGUAACGGCGAGUGAAGCGGCAACAGCUCAAAUUUGAAAUCUGGCCCCUCAAGGUCCGAGUUGUAAUUUGUAGAGGAUGCUUUUGGUGAGGUGCCGCCCGAGUUCCCUGGAACGGGACGCCGCAGAGGGUGAGAGCCCCGUCUGGCUGGCCGCCGAACCUAUGUAAAGCUCCUUCGACGAGUCGAGUAGUUUGGGAAUGCUGCUCAAAAUGGGAGGUAUAUGUCUUCUAAAGCUAAAUAUUGGCCAGAGACCGAUAGCGCACAAGUAGAGUGAUCGAAAGAUGAAAAGCACCUUGAAAAGAGGGUUAAAUAGUACGUGAAAUUGUUGAAAGGGAAGCGCUUGUGACCAGACUUGGGCGCGGCGGAUCAUCCGGGGUUCUCCCCGGUGCACUUCGCCGUGCCCAGGCCAGCAUCAGUUCGUCGCGGGGGAAAAAGGCUUCGGGAACGUGGCUCCUCCGGGAGUGUUAUAGCCCGUUGCAUAAUACCCUGCGGUGGACUGAGGACCGCGCUUCGGCAAGGAUGCUGGCGUAAUGGUCACCAGCGACCCGUCUUGAAACACGG